GGGGGGGGGGGGGGGGGGGGGGGGGGGGGGGGGGGGGGGGGGGGGGGGGGGGGGGGGGGGGGGGGGGGGGGGGGGGGGGGGGGGGGGGGGGGGGGGGGGGGGGGGGGGGGGGGGGCGGGGGGGACGCCCCAAACCCCUCCUGAGCGACGAUGAGAGCGAGGACGAGCAGGAGGAGGAUCGCUCCGGCAGCGGCACUGAGGAUGACUGACCCCAACAUUCCACGGCUCCAGAAUUCUGCGAAACCCCAGAGCCUCCCGCCCCCCACCCCCAUUCUCCCCUGUAGCUCCAACAACAGCGACACCGGAAUUCCCAAAAUCCUGAAAAUCAAAAAAAACCACGCCCAACCUUGUCCGUAUUUAUACCAGAAUCGGCACUGCCACAGCCACCAGAGCUCCUGGCCCGGCCCAGAUCUGGGUGGUCCUGAAUGGUCCAGCUGGGCUCAUCCCAGGUUGUUUCAGAUGCUCCCAAGUUGUCCCUGCUCAUCCCAGAUCCAGAUUGUCCCGAGUUGUCCUGGACCAUCCCAAGUGUCCUGGGCUGUCCAGGGGGAUGCAGCUCAUCCCUGAUGGUCUUAGAUCCUCCUAGAUCAUCUGAGAUCAACCCUUGCAUUGUCCUGGGUCAUCCCAGCCUGUCCUGAGUGGUCUCAAUCUGGAUUCUCCUGGGUGGUCCCAGGUUAUCCCAGACCACUCUCCAUCCCCUGGGAUCCUCCCGGCUGAUCCCAGUCCCACCCCCCCCGUACUGUCGUUGUCCCUGGAUUCCCAUCAGUCGAUAAUUAAUUAAUAAAUUAAUCCAACGGAAGCCGGUCACCUCUACGGGAGAGCUGGGGUAGGCCUGGGAGGGAACUGGGAGGUUCCAGAGCAGUCUCAGGGAGGUGUUGUUGGGGUGACUCUGGGCACUGGGGGGUCCCUGGGGGAUUGGGGAAUCCCUGGGGUGACCCGGGGGGUGUCUCAGAGGGUCCCGCAGUAGGAUUCGUGUCAUUCCAGAGGCGCCGCAGCAACGACCCCUCCCUCCCCUGGGAAUAUGGGGGGUGGGGAGUUGGGGAGAGUUGAAGCCCUUUGUGCCCCCGUACCCCCAGAUCCUGCUCCAGCCUGCCUGGGAAUCACCUCCAUGAUUAAUCCCACGUGAAAAGUGGGAAAAC
rnacentral:lncRNA from 1 species